rnacentral:lncRNA from 1 species
CAGCGGGUUGGUAGGCUGAGCGGCAGAAAGGCAGACGGGGACUGGGAAAGGCACUGUCGGUGACAUCACGGAUAGGGCGACUUCUAUGUAAAUGAGGCAGCGCAGGGGCUGCUGCUUCGCCACGAAGGAUUUCCCGUGCCGUGGGAGCGGGUUCAGGACCGCUGGUCGGACCUGAGAGUCCCAGCUGUGGGAAGCUCAGCUGUGUAAUUUGUAGUAACGAAGCAGAAGUUACAACGAAAAGACAAGUUUUCCUGUGCUUGGCAGGGCCCCCCUCCCCCCCACCAAGGCCUGCAGUGGAUAGAGCCUAGCAGAUCCUGGACAAUACUAUCCUAAAAGCUACAUCUCUGACAGUGAUUUCCAGCGACUUUGUCAACACGGUCCGCCCCCAGCAAGUAUAAGAGGAAAAACAACAAAUGUCUUUACUGCCUUGUCUUUCCCCCUUGCCACUUGUCAUUAUUCAAGUUUUGUAAGUUCCUGAUUUCCAUUCAGUGCAGCUGCAAGGUUACCAGCUGUGCUUGCGUUGCAAGACCUGUCACAGUUUGAUUAACUGCCUUCUUUCUGCUUCUGUAAGCCCUCUUGCCUGCCCCGCGAGUUUCACACCAUCAAAUUCCUGCUGCACCAUUCAAACUAGCCAACCCCCUUUCAGAAGUGUGUAUAAAAGUCAAGCCCCCUGUCUUUCUUCGGGGCUCAUGCUAGGCCCGAGUGCAUUCAAUAAAAUCCUUCUGUUCC